rnacentral:misc_RNA from 1 species
GAGCUACUAGUUUCAUCACUAUCAUUUAAGUUCUUCUCUUCCACUGUUACAGAAAGUUUUUUAGCCAUUUUCACAGCUUGUGCAGCCCUGACACAAGAAAAAUAGAGGUCGAUGCAACUUUCAAGAAAAUCUGCUCUUCGGCAAACAGCUGAGAAAGAUAGACACAUUUUUGCAAGAUCAACCAUGAACCUAAGGACAGCGGUAGCAGCAGCAGGGGCUGAAGCCUCGCCGCCCAUCAGCCGUGCCGCAUAAGUUUUGUGCAUAAGAGCUUCACCCUGAAGCUCUCCAGCUAUGUCAGUAUUGUCUUCU